AUUGAACGCUGGCGGCAGGCCUAACACAUGCAAGUCGAGCGGAGCGGCGGACGGGUGAGUAAUGCCUAGGAAUCUGCCUGGUAGUGGGGGAUAACGUCCGGAAACGGGCGCUAAUACCGCAUACUAUCAGAUGAGCCUAGGUCGGAUUAGCUAGUUGGUGGGGUAAAGGCCUACCAAGGCGACGAUCCGUAACUGGUCUGAGAGGAGGAUCAGUCACACUGGAACUGAGACACGGUCCAGACUCCUACGGUAGGCAGCAGUGGGGAAUAUUGGAAAAUGGGCGAAAGCCUGAUCCAGCCAUGCCGCGUGUGUGAAGAAGGUCGUCGGAUUGUAAAGUACUUUCAGCGAGGAGGCGUUACUCGCAGAAGAAGCACCGGCUAACUCCGUGCCAGCCGCCGCGGUAAUAC
rnacentral:rRNA from 1 species